AGUGAACGCUGGCGGCGUGCUUAACACAUGCAAGUCGAACGAUGAAGCCCAGCUUGCUGGGUGGAUUAGUGGCGAACGGGUGAGUAACACGUGAGUAACCUGCCCCCGACUCUGGGAUAAGCCCGGGAAACUGGGUCUAAUACCGGAUAUGACCUCGCACCGCAUGGUGCGGGGUGGAAAGAUUUAUCGGUGGGGGAUGGACUCGCGGCCUAUCAGCUUGUUGGUGAGGUAAUGGCUCACCAAGGCGACGACGGGUAGCCGGCCUGAGAGGGUGACCGGCCACACUGGGACUGAGACACGGCCCAG
rnacentral:rRNA from 1 species